rnacentral:misc_RNA from 1 species
AAAGUCGUAACAAGGUUUCCUUCCCCUACUGAAGCCUUUUGCAACGACGGUAAAUAAAUGCACAGUUUGCUUCUGCAAGCAAUGCCACUCAAAUGCUGAGACGCUAUGAAUCAGCAGCCUUUAGGGCUCACAGAUCAGAUAGUGGUAACCAUUCUUAUGGGUAAGAUAUGACCGGUCUUAUCUAGAGUUAGUUAAGAAUCAACGUUCCGUAGGUGAACCUGCGGAAGGAUCAUUAAUAGUUUAGGGUACCCAGUGCCCAAAACUUCAACCCUAUGUUUAAUUAACCUGUUUCUUUGCCGGUUUCGGCCGGCAGAAGUUUUCUCAAACUCAUUAUAAAUGUGUCUUCUGAUAAUAAAUUAAAAUAUAUUAAAACUUUCAACAACGGAUCUCUUGGUUCUG